CCCUUCUCCAAUCAACCUCACCAUCCUUAGUCUCGGCCUUGACUGUGUGCACCUUCUCCAAUAAUGGCACACCAUCUUCCGGCAUUCCUGUCGCCUCCCAACAGGUGUGGCUCCUAGUCGGCUCCAGAUCGACUACCGACUACCCACCGAAGAAAGGCCGCAACACCACCUAUAAAUACCCCCUUUCUCUCUCCCUCUACAAAUCAUUCAAAUCCGCAGCCAAUCAUCGGCGAGGCCGUGCGAUUUCUACCUAUUUUCGUCAGGUGUUCCUUGACGAAUCAUCGUCGAUUUCUCAUGGAGAUGAGAACCUUCAACACAAGAGAAGCAUCGGAUCUAGAGAUCGAGUCACAAGAUGAAGGUCAUGCUUUUUGGAUCUGAUUGACUAUUCAGAAGAUACUAUGGGACUUAGGACCGAUCAGUAAGGAGCAUAGGAUAUUAGAGAAUAUUUAUUUAGUUUAUUUUUAAAUAAAUUUUGAUCUUGAUUAU